GACUGACAUGUUUUUUUUCCCGAUCUUUGUCUCCUCCAUGUCUUUUUCUCUUCCCUUUUAGUUUCAAAACUCCAUUGCAUCCAUCCAUACUCUGUCCAUUCUUUUUUUUCUCCAUUAUGAAUCUUUACCUCGUACCACGCAACUUUCUUCUCGAAGAAGUAUAUUCCAGCAUUGCCGCGUGCGGGAGGGGAAUCGGGCGAUUGGUCGGGAACAGGCUUAAAUGCAGAAAAAUCCGGUUUUGUACUUAGCAACACAGGAAGGAAGGACUGGAAAGUUGUGGAGUGCAAAUAAAAAGUGUGGGUAAGCCAAGUUUCAAAUUUUGCAAAAGGUCCUCUGCUGUGCUGCUCCGGAGCCAGAGGCCCAACUUCGAGUCCUGUCCUUCCUUCAACGACUUGGAAGUUUCUAUCCGGAUCCACAGGGAGGAGGGAUAUCUAUUCCGCCGGCACGUGGAUGCGUUGGCCUCCUAACAUCCGCCACCCCUGGCCUUGCAGCUUUACCUCGUCAAUCGCCGUUAGAUAGGCCCGCUAGCAGCUAUCACAAUGUAAGAGUGUCAGCUGCUCGAUAUUUUGUAUAGUCGGUCUGAUUGGCUUGGGGAACUACUCAAGCUCCUUGUUCGGCCUGGGAGAAGUCCUGUAACAUUUCCAAACUGAUGCCCAAUCCGGGAGAUGGAAGAAGAGCCUCCAAGGAGCCUAUCCUUUUGUCUUCCGCAUCUCUCUCGGUUUAUAGGGAAUUCCUGUGAUAGAAUCGCGGUUUAGAACCCAACAUGGCCCUAAAUAUAUGGCUAGUGUUGAUUGUGAGGACUAGAGAGUCUUCAGGAUAGUAGGGUAUCGGGGGUUCUUAAAACUUUCGACCCUAGUUGGUUGUCAUCUUUGAAGGACAAUUCUUCUGUCUUUCUUCCCGCUUCAUAUAACACGUAACAAAAGAGCUUUUACAACACCCUUGAACAAUGACGAAAAUAAACAAAUAGAGAUCAGAUAAUUUCAAUGACCCAUAAGACGUCUCC
rnacentral:sRNA from 2 species